GGCCCCAUAGCUCAGCAGGAUAGAGCGCAAGAUUCCUAAUCUUGAGGUCAGUGGUUCGAAUCCACUUGGGGUCACCA
rnacentral:tRNA from 1 species